rnacentral:rRNA from 1 species
GGUGAGGUAAAGGCUUACUAAGGCGACGAUCUGUAGCGGGUCUGAGAGGAUGAUCCGCCACACUGGAACUGAGACACGGUCCAGACUCCUACGGGAGGCAGCAGUGGGGAAUUUUGGACAAUGGGGGCAACCCUGAUCCAGCCAUGCCGCGUGAGUGAAGAAGGCCUUCGGGUUGUAAAGCUCUUUCGGCCGGGAAGAAAUCGCAUGGGCCAAUACCCUGUGUGGAUGACGGUACCGGAAUAAGAAGCACCGGCUAACUACGUGCCAGCAGCCGCGGUAAUACGUAGGGUGCGAGCGUUAAUCGGAAUUACUGGGCGUAAAGCGUGCGCAGGCGGUUUUGUAAGACAGGCGUGAAAUCCCCGGGCUUAACCUGGGAACUGCGUUUGUGACUGCAAGGCUAGAGUACGGCAGAGGGGGGUGGAAUUCCACGUGUAGCAGUGAAAUGCGUAGAGAUGUGGAGGAACACCAAUGGCGAAGGCAGCCCCCUGGGUCGAUACUGACGCUCAUGCACGAAAGCGUGGGUAGCAAACAGGAUUAGAUACCCUGGUAGUCCACGCCCUAAACUAUGUCAACUAGGUGUUGGGUGGGUAAAACCAUUUAGUACCGUAGCUAACGCGUGAAGUUGACCGCCUGGGGAGUACGGCCGCAAGGUUAAAACUCAAAGGAAUUGACGGGGACCCGCACAAGCGGUGGAUGAUGUGGAUUAAUUCGAUGCAACGCGAAAAACCUUACCUACCCUUGACAUGCCAGGAACUUGCCAGAGAUGGCUUGGUGCCCGAAAGGGAGCCUGGACACAGGUGCUGCAUGGCUGUCGUCAGCUCGUGUCGUGAGUUGUUGGGUUAAGUCCCGCAACGAGCGCAACCCUUGUCGUUAAUUGCCAUCAUAUAGUUGGGCACUUUAACGAGACUGCCGGUGACAAACCGGAGGAAGGUGGGGAUGACGUCAAGUCCUCAUGGCCCUUAUGGGUAGGGCUUCACACGUCAUACAAUGGUCGGUACAAAGGGUUGCCAAGCCGCGAGGCGGAGCCAAUCCCAGAAAGCCGAUCGUAGUCCGGAUUGCAGGCUGCAACUCGCCUGCAUGAAGUCGGAAUCGCUAGUAAUCGUGGAUCAGCAUGUCACGGUGAAUACGUUCCCGGGUCUUGUACACACCGCCCGUCACACCAUGGGAGCGGGUUCCGCCAGAAGUAGGUAGCCUAACCGCAAGGGGGGCGCUUACCA